AACGAACGCUGGCGGCAUGCCUAACACAUGCAAGUCGAACGAUCCCUUCGGGGAUAGUGGCGCACGGGUGCGUAACGCGUGGGAACCUGCCCUUAGGUUCGGAAUAACUCAGAGAAAUUUGAGCUAAUACCGGAUAAUGUCUUCGGACCAAAGAUUUAUCGCCUUUGGAUGGGCCCGCGUUGGAUUAGCUAGUUGGUGGGGUAAAGGCCUACCAAGGCGACGAUCCAUAGCUGGUCUGAGAGGAUGAUCAGCCACACUGGGACUGAGACACGGCCCAGACUCCUACGGGAGGCAGCAGUGGGGAAUAUUGGACAAUGGGCGAAAGCCUGAUCCAGCAAUGCCGCGUGAGUGAUGAAGGCCUUAGGGUUGUAAAGCCCUUUUACCCGGGAUGAUAAUGACAGUACCGGGAGAAUAAGCCCCGGCUAACUCCGUG
rnacentral:rRNA from 1 species